rnacentral:rRNA from 1 species
CGUAGGUGGCAAGCGUUGUCCGGAAUUAUUGGGCGUAAAGCGCGCGCAGGCGGUCCUUUAAGUCUGAUGUGAAAGCCCACGGCUCAACCGUGGAGGGUCAUUGGAAACUGGGGGACUUGAGUACAGAAGAGAAGAGUGGAAUUCCACGUGUAGCGGUGAAAUGCGUAGAGAUGUGGAGGAACACCAGUGGCGAAGGCGACUCUUUGGUCUGUAACUGACGCUGAGGCGCGAAAGCGUGGGGAGCAAACAGGAUUAGAUACCCUGGUAGUCCACGCUGUAAACGAUGAGUGCUAAGUGUUAGAGGGUUUCCGCCCUUUAGUGCUGCAGCUAACGCAUUAAGCACUCCGCCUGGGGAGUACGGCCGCAAGGCUG